GACGAACGCUGGCGGCGUGCUUAACACAUGCAAGUCGAACGGAAAGGCCCUGCUUUUGUGGGGUGCUCGAGUGGCGAACGGGUGAGUAACACGGGAGUAACCUGCCCUUGAGGUUGGGAUAACUUCAGGAAACUGGGGCUAAUACCGGAGAGGAGCUCCUGCUGCAGGGGGGGGGUUGGAAAGUUUCGGCGGUUGGGGAUGGACUCGCGGCUUAUCAGCUUGUUGGUGGGGUAGUGGCUUACCAAGGCUUUGGCGGGUAGCCGGCGUGAGAGGGUGACCGGCCACAUUGGGACUGAGAUACGGCCCAGACUCCUACGGGAGGCAGCAGUGGGGAAUAUUGCACAAUGGGCGGAAGCCUGAUGCAGCAACGCCGCGUGCGGGAUGACGGCCUUCGGGUUGUAAACCGCUUUCGCCUGUGACGAAGCGUGAGUGACGGUAAUGGGUAAAGAAGCACCGGCUAACUACGUG
rnacentral:rRNA from 1 species